rnacentral:rRNA from 1 species
UACAGGGGGUGCAAACGUUGCUCGGAAUUAUUGGGCGUAAAGCGCGCGUAGGCGGUGACUCAAGUCGGAUGUGAAAGCCCUUGGCUUAACCGAGGAAGUGCAUCCGAAACUGAGUCGCUAGAGUACGAUAGAGGGUCGCGGAAUUCCCGGUGUAGAGGUGAAAUUCGUAGAUAUUCGGAGGAACACCAGUGGCGAAGGCGGCUCACUGGCUCGGUACUGACGCUGAGGUGCGAAAGCGUGGGGAGCAAACAGG